rnacentral:misc_RNA from 1 species
UAAACCUCAGGGCAUUUGCUGGAAAAAAAACCCAGAGGAGCAGACUUCUCACUUCAGAGAGCAAUUCGCCAAAAAAGCAGAAGCGGUAAAGCAGGAAGAUAUGAGUGCUUACAACGCUUUUAAAUCUUGUGCUCCAGUUGCAUGGAGCCCUAAUCUAUACAUAACCCUUGUAAGGGGUAUACCAGGCACUAGGAGGCUCCAUAGGCGUACCCUUGAGGCAUUGCGUCUUGGCAAAUGCAACCGGACUGUAAUGCGAUGGAACACACCUACUGUUAGGGGAAUGAUUCAGCAGGUGAAAAGAUUGGUUGUCGUUGAGACAGAAGAGAUGUACAAUGCACGUAAGGAGAAAUUAGCUAAUCAGAAAGCUCUACGUCCUCCUUUGGUUGUAAAUCAUCACGCAGCCCCUGCAGGUGAUCCAGUUCAGUAACUGUUGAAAACUCUUUUCUGGUCAGUUUUGUAAUGGUCCAACAAUGUAGUAGCCUAUUCAGACCUUUUGCUUUAAGCAUGUGGUAUGAAAUUGCAUUGAACCUUUGUAUUAAGGUGGUUGUUGUUAUUGUUUUGGCUAUAAACGAUGCCUCUGGAACAAUCUAGAGAGUUGAUUAGGUCCUUACUGGAAUAAGGAACUUGAAGAAAGCUGAUAUAAGCUCGUAAACUAAAAACUGGUUCUAGCCCGUUGAUACGAGGCUACCAGGAAUGAUUCUGUGGUCAUGCUUAAAGAAGUGCAAUGAAGGAUUGCUUUAUGUUUAUGUCAUGUUAGGAACAACCUUUGAUUUUUCGGGUUUUCUCUGUGAACUUUGGCUCGAUUUUUACUGCUUUCUGUUUCCUUUCCUUAGCUUCUAUCUUCUUACUUGUCUUCUCUAUUCAACCUCGAGUCUGUACUGGUCUUUCUGUUAAAAAAAAUAUGUACUAAUAUCACAAUAAUCUUUGAAUAAAA